GCCGAAGUGGUGGAAUUGGUAGACACGUCGGUCUCAAAAACCGAUUGCUUAUGGCAGUGCCGGUUCGAUUCCGGCCUUCGGCA
rnacentral:tRNA from 1 species